CACACACACACACACACACACACACACACACACACACACCCGCGCACACACACACACACACACACAUAUACCAUUUGUUGCGCAGGAGUAUGAGGUGUGUUCUUAAUGAUACGUAUAAGAUCACGAGGGGAACCCUCUAAUCCAGGCAUCAUUCUGAUAUGCCUCUUCCGCCCCCUCAAACGCCUUCACAUCCUUCCUGUAAUGGGAUCGACCAGAACUGUACGCAAUAUUCUAAAUGCGACCGGCACAACAUCCUAUAAAUCUGUAUCGUGACUUCCUGACUCGUAUACUCAAUUCCACGACCGAUGAAGGCAAGUAUACCAUACGCUGUUAUGGGUCCCCUCACGAUGUCCCCUUACCUGCCAAAAACCUUGGAAAUCCGUGUCAAAGGUAGACAGGGUCACGAAGAUGGCUUUUACACAUUUGCCUUCAUCAGACAGUGUAUUGGGUGCAAAGACUUAGAGUUUAUGUUACUGUUGCACGAGCAGUUGUUGAGACUACAUUUGGAGUACCAUACAUUUGGAGCACUUUGUUCACUUUUGCAGACCCUGUUAUGGAAAGGUUGUUGUUAAGCUGGAGAAGUGCUGAGAAGAUUUACGAAGAUGUUGCCAGGACUCGAGGGCCUGAGCUAUAGGGAGCAAUUGACCAGGCUAGGAUUAGAGCGCAGGAGGAUGCGAUGUGGUCUUAUAGAGGUGGGUAAAAUCACAAGGGGAAUAAAUAGGGUAAAUUCACACUUUUACCCAGUGUAGAACAAUUAAGAAUCAAAAAACCAUAGGCGAAAAAUUGAACAGGAACCUGUGGGACAAUGUUUUUAUUUCCGCACAGUUUGUUCACAGAGGUUAUCGGGUAAAUGAACUGUCCAAUCAGUAACAAGAGAGCGGUCCUGACCCUUAUACUGAUUGAGGACCUUCGAACGAUCUUUAAUCGGACUUUCCUGGACUUUAUUUUGCACAAAAGAUUAUAACUUUAUUCUUUAUGGGUCCACUCUGAAUGGAUUGUUCGUAAUCUUUUGCGGACUGGAUAGCACACAACGACAAAAACUUUCACUGUACCCCAGUGCACGUGACAAUAUACACCUUACUAAACGAAUCCGAUCUACAUCAAUCUGAACUGAAGUCAUCGAGUAAUACAGUAUGGCCAACUUCGGCCAAACUUCCCCACACCGGCCAACACGUCCCAGCUACACUACCCUCACUUCACCGUGUUUGGUCCAUAACCCUCGAAACAUGUCCUAUGGAUGUGACUGUCUAACUGUUUCUUAAAUGUGGGGAUUGCCCCUGCCUCAACUACUUCCUCUGACAACUUGUUCCACACACGCACCGCCCUAUGUGUGAGAAAGUCACGCCUCAAAUUCCUAUUAAAUCUUUUCCGCUUCAUUUUGAACCUGUCCUCUGGACCUCGGGUCCUCGAUUCACUACUCUGGGCAAGAUACUCUGUACGUCUACGCGAUGUAUUCCUCUCUUGGUUUUAUACAUUUCCACAUGAUUGGGAUUGGUUACCCUUGGAGAAGGGGCGUUUCUAUGCCACGUCACCCCUGUCACACCCCAUGCACAGUGCGAUUACGGUCCACUCCCACGUACGGCGCUCGAUCUCCUAACUUCUGUCUUUGAGUGGAGCGAGCCCACGGAAAGAUGUUUCUCCUUCUCGCUGUGGUGACCUGGUUUCAUUUUGUGAACUCGGUGACCGUCCACCAGAAUCCAACCACGUUUUCAGGAGUUCCCGGGAAUUUAUUGGAGCUGCGCUGCACGGCGGAGGGAGGGGACAACACUAACUAUAUGUACUGGUACGGACAGUCCGCCGCGGAGGGGCUGCGGAACCUGUUCUUUUCCAUGAAUCCGAUGCACGUGGAUCCGAAGGAGACGACGAACGGUCUCUACGCGGUCAGAAAAGACAACCAGUUCGAUCUGAAAUUCACCGGCCUGGCGGCGAAUCACUCAGCCCGGUAUUUCUGCGCAUGGAGUAUACACAGCGACGCGACGAGGCGGCCGAGGUCGACAAAAACCUUCCUCGCCUUUUAA